AUUGAACGCUAGCGGCAGGCUUAACACAUGCAAGUCGAGCGGGGGAAGGUAGCUUGCUACCGGACCUAGCGGCGGACGGGUGAGUAAUGCUUAGGAAUCUGCCUAUUAGUGGGGGACAACAUCUCGAAAGGGAUGCUAAUACCGCAUACGUCCUACGGGAGAAAGCAGGGGAUCUUCGGACCUUGCGCUAAUAGAUGAGCCUAAGUCGGAUUAGCUAGUUGGUGGGGUAAAGGCCUACCAAGGCGACGAUCUGUAGCGGGUCUGAGAGGAUGAGCCGCCACACUGGGACUGAGACACGGCCCAGACUCCUACGGGAGGCAGCAGUGGGGAAUAUUGGACAAUGGGGGGAACCCUGAUCCAGCCAUGCCGCGUGUGUGAAGAAGGCCUUAUGGUUGUAAAGCACUUUAAGCGAGGAGGAGGCUACUCUAGUUAAUACCUAGGGAUAGUGGACGUUACUCGCAGAAUAAGCACCGGCUAACUCUGUGCCAGCAGCCGCCGCCG
rnacentral:rRNA from 1 species